rnacentral:rRNA from 1 species
AUGAACGCUAGCUACAGGCUUAACACAUGCAAGUCGAGGGGCAGCAUGGUCUUAGCUUGCUAAGGCCGAUGGCGACCGGCGCACGGGUGAGUAACACGUAUCCAACCUGCCGUCUACUCUUGGACAGCCUUCUGAAAGGAAGAUUAAUACAAGAUGGCAUCAUGAGUCCGCAUGUUCACAUGAUUAAAGGUAUUCCGGUAGACGAUGGGGAUGCGUUCCAUUAGAUAGUAGGCGGGGUAACGGCCCACCUAGUCUUCGAUGGAUAGGGGUUCUGAGAGGAAGGUCCCCCACAUUGGAACUGAGACACGGUCCAAACUCCUACGGGAGGCAGCAGUGAGGAAUAUUGGUCAAUGGGCGAGAGCCUGAACCAGCCAAGUAGCGUGAAGGAUGACUGCCCUAUGGGUUGUAAACUUCUUUUAUAAAGGAAUAAAGUCGGGUAUGGAUACCCGUUUGCAUGUACUUUAUGAAUAAGGAUCGGCUAACUCCGUGCCAGCAGCCGCGGUAAUACGGAGGAUCCGAGCGUUAUCCGGAUUUAUUGGGUUUAAAGGGAGCGUAGAUGGAUGUUUAAGUCAGUUGUGAAAGUUUGCGGCUCAACCGUAAAAUUGCAGUUGAUACUGGAUAUCUUGAGUGCAGUUGAGGCAGGCGGAAUUCGUGGUGUAGCGGUGAAAUGCUUAGAUAUCACGAAGAACUCCGAUUGCGAAGGCAGCCUGCUAAGCUGCAACUGACAUUGAGGCUCGAAAGUGUGGGUAUCAAACAGGAUUAGAUACCCUGGUAGUCCACACGGUAAACGAUGAAUACUCGCUGUUUGCGAUAUACUGCAAGCGGCCAAGCGAAAGCGUUAAGUAUUCCACCUGGGGAGUACGCCGGCAACGGUGAAACUCAAAGGAAUUGACGGGGGCCCGCACAAGCGGAGGAACAUGUGGUUUAAUUCGAUGAUACGCGAGGAACCUUACCCGGGCUUAAAUUGCAGAUGAAUUACGGUGAAAGCCGUAAGCCGCAAGGCAUCUGUGAAGGUGCUGCAUGGUUGUCGUCAGCUCGUGCCGUGAGGUGUCGGCUUAAGUGCCAUAACGAGCGCAACCCUUGUUGUCAGUUACUAACAGGUUCCGCUGAGGACUCUGACAAGACUGCCAUCGUAAGAUGUGAGGAAGGUGGGGAUGACGUCAAAUCAGCACGGCCCUUACGUCCGGGGCUACACACGUGUUACAAUGGGGGGUACAGAGGGCCGCUACCACGCGAGUGGAUGCCAAUCCCAAAAACCUCUCUCAGUUCGGACUGGAGUCUGCAACCCGACUCCACGAAGCUGGAUUCGCUAGUAAUCGCGCAUCAGCCACGGCGCGGUGAAUACGUUCCCGGGCCUUGUACACACCGCCCGUCACACCAUGAGAGUCGGGAACACCCGAAGUCCGUAGCCUAACCGCAAGGAGGGCGCGGCCGAAGGUGGGUUCGAUAAUUGGGGUG